UACGUAGGGUGCAAGCGUUAUCCGGAAUCACUGGGCGUAAAGCGUGCGUAGGCGGAAGCUUAAGUGUGAUGUUAAAUCGUGUGGCUCAACCAUAUCGAUGCAUCGCAUACUGGGUUUCUAGAGGAAGGCAGAGGCAAGUGGAAUUUGUAGUGUAGCAGUGAAAUGCGUAGAUAUUACAAGGAACACCAAUGGCGAAGGCAGCUUGCUGGGCCUUUUCUGACGCUGAGGUACGAAAGCGUGGGGAGCGAACAGGAUUAGAAACCGGGUAGUCC
rnacentral:rRNA from 1 species